rnacentral:rRNA from 1 species
UACGUAGGGAGCAAGCGUUGUCCGGAAUCAUUGGGCGUAAAGGGCGCGUAGGUGGCUUCUUAAGCGUGCGGUGAAAGCCUGGGGCUCAACCCCGGGUCGGCCGUGCGAACUGGGGGGCUGGAGCACUGUAGAGGCAGGCGGAAUUCCGGGUGUAGCGGUGGAAUGCGUAGAGAUCCGGAAGAACACCGGUGGCGAAGGCGGCCUGCUGGGCAGUUGCUGACACUGAGGCGCGACAGCGUGGGGAGCAAACAGG